GCCUAGGUGGCUCAGUCGGUUGAGCGUCCGACUUCGGCUCAGGUCAUGAUCUCGCAGUUUGUGGGUUCAAGCCCCAUGUCAGGCU
rnacentral:tRNA from 1 species